GUGUCUUUCUUACUUCGACCUGUGAAAAUAUAUACUCUGGAGUUUACACAUCUUGUAUGCAUAUACUAUUAUAGUAUCAUAAAAUGAAAAAUUAUGUAUAUCCAAUUUUAAUUGAUCUCAAUUGAUUCUUCGUUACUGCUCAGAGGAGAAGUAAUAGGUAGGGAUGACAGGAUUUGAACCCGUGACAUUUUGUACCCAAAACAAACGCGCUACCAAGCUGCGCUACAUCCCUUUCAAUUGGUCUACAGUGUCAUUGUAGAGAAUACCUGUCUUGUUUUCCACAUCCUAGCAUUGAAUAGACUGGGUAUUCACCUUAUCAAUAUCUCAAAAUGAUGGGUUCUAUUUGGCGCUUAAAUUAAAUGGGCACCCAAAUCGGACCGAAUCAGUUCCGAUACGUAGACCAAAUGAUACAAUGCAAGCAAAAGUUCCUAGAUUCAUGGAGAUAUAGAACAGCAUAUAAGUUAUCAUGCUUGCAUAUCCACCAUUUAAGUCUCCAACAAUUAUUCCAAAUUGAGGCUUUUUUACAGUGAAAACCUCAAAAGGGGGAUUUUGGGGAAUAAGUGUUUGUGUAUUUUUUUUUUUCUUCCUAUGGAGAAGGAAGAGUGAAGAAUUUGUGAAAUGGCAAACCGUUAUUGGUCUGUUUCUAUUGAGCGGCGUUUCAGCUAUGUGGUUCUCAUCCCAUUUAUGCAGCAUUGAGUUUGAAUGCCGAGAAAUAUCUCUUUGAUCGGUGUGGGGAAAAUAGGAAAGGGGUUAGAUGGCCCCUAAUUGGUCAUUGCUCCUCUUUCUACUCUCUCAAACUGGGCAAAUGAAAUAGCAAGGUUUGUGCCUUCAAUAAUUGCAAUCAUCUACCAUGGCAAUAGGAAAGAAAGAGAUCAAAUACGAAUGAAGUAUAUGCCAGGAAAAAUUAGCCCCAAAUUUCCUAUAAUUCCGACUUCUUAUGAGGUUGCAUUAAAUGAUGCUAGAAAAUAUCUAAGGCAUUACAAUUGGAAAUAUCUUGUAGUUGAUGGUGGGGCCACGGAUGUAAAUUCAUGAUGUGCACCUUGCAACACUCUGUUUUAUUUUUCUUUGGGCUGCCAGGAUGUUCAAACAUCAUUUGAAAACCUUUUUUUUUUCACUUUGGCCACCUCUAAGUGUGGUCACUUUGGCACAUGGCCCUAGUAAGUUUUUGACUUUUUAUUUAUUUUCUUAUGAUUUUAACAGUUUUCCUUACUCCAAUUUUCCAAAAUUCAUUUCAUGAUUCCACUUUUCAAAUAAUUUUUAAAGCUUUCAUUUUAGAUUAGUCUUCCGGAAUUCCCAUUUCCAUAUUUAUUUAUUUAAUCAUUAUUCUUUUUUUAUUAUUAUUAUUUUAUUUAUUCACUUUUAAAAUUCUAUCUUUAAGUAAUUCUUAAAAUUCCGAUUUCCGAAUUUAAUUUCCAAUCAUUAAAAUUCAAUUCUUCAAAAGUCUGACUUCCAAAUUUAAUUUUCAAUCUAAAAAAUUUCACUAUUCACGUUCAUUCGUUUAAAUAUUAUUUUUGUUAUUAUUAUUAUUAUUCCAUAUUUAUUUAUUUAUUUUUUACAAAAGUUCCAAUCAUUAAAGUUCAAUUCUUCAAAAAUUUGACUUCCAAAUUUAACUUUCAAUCUCAAAAAUUCCACCAUUCACGUUCAUUCGUUUAAAUAUUAUUUUUUUUAUUAUUAUUAUUAUUCCAUAUUUAUUCAUUUAUUUAUUUUAAAAAUUCCAAUCAUUAAAGUUCAAUUCUUCAAAAAUCUGACUUCCAAAUUUAAUUUUCAAUCUAAAAAAUUCCACUAUUCACGUUCAUUUGUUUAAAUAUUAUUUUCGUUAUUAUUAUUAUUCCAUGUUUAUUCAUUUAUUUCUUUUAAAAAUUCCAAUCUUUAAAAUUCAAUUCUUCAAAAAUCCGACUUCCAAAUUUAACUUUCAAUCUCAAAAAUUUCACUAUUCACGUUCAUUCGUUUAAAUAUUAUAUUCGUUAUUAUUAUUAUUAUUCCAUAUUUAUUUAUUUAUUUAUUUAUUUAUUUAUUUUAAAAAUUCCAAUCAUUAAAGUUCAAUUCUUCAAAAAUCCGACUUCCAAAUUCAAUUUUCAAUCUCAAAAAUUCCACUAUUCACGUUCAUUCAUUUAAAUAUUAUUUUUGUUAUUAUUAUCAUUAUUUAAUUUAUUUAUUUGUUUAUUUCCUUUAAAAAUUCUAAUCAUUAAAGUUCAAUUUUUCAAAAUUCCGUUUUCCAAAUUUCAUUUUCAAUCUUAAAAAUUUUACUAUUCAUGUUCAUUCGUUUAAGUAUUAUUUUUUAUAUUAUUCUUAUUAUUCCGUUCACUUACUUAUUUAUUUCUUUUUAAAAAAAAAAAUAUCCGUCUUUAAACAAUUCUUAAAAAAUCUGACUUCCAAAUCUAAUUUCCAAUCUCAAAAAUUCAACUAUUCACAUUCAUUUGUUUAAUGAUUAUUUUCGUUAUUAUUAUUAUUUCAUUCAUUUACUUAUUCACUUAUUCACUUAUUCAUAUAUUUAAAAUCGCAUCUCUAAAUAAUCCUUCGAAUUUCCAAUCUCUAAAUUCAAUUUCCAAUUUCUAAAAUUCUAACUUUCGCAAUUAUUUAUCCAAUCAUUAUUAUUUUCGUUAUUCUAUUCAUUUAUUUAUUCAUUUGUUCGUUUAUUUAAAAUUUCAUCUCUAAAUAAUUCUUUAAAUUUCCAAUCCCUAAGUUCAAUUUCCAAUUUCCAAAAUUCUAACUUUCACAAUUAUUUAUCCAAUCAUUAUUAUUUCGUCAUUAUUAUUAUUUCAUUCAUUGAUUUAUUCACUUAUUCAUUUAUUUAAAAUUCCGUCUUUAAAUAAUUCUUCAAAAUUCCAAUUUCCAAAUUUAGUUCUCUGAAAUUCCAAUUUUCUUAUCACCGAACUUAAUUUUCAGUUUCCAAUAUUUCAAUUCUCGCAUUUAUUCGGUUACUCAUUUAUUAUUAUCAUUAUCAUUUUAUUCAUUCAUUUCUAAAAAUUCCAUCUUCGAAUGAUUUCCAAGAUUUCCAAUUUUUAUAAUUCAAUCUUCAUAGUUUCUACUUCUCAAAUAAUUUUCAAUUCUAAUUUCUUUCAAAAUUUAAUUUCCAAAGUCCCAAUUUUUGUAAUUUAAUUUUUUUAAAAUCCCAAACUCUCAAAUAAUUUUCAAAAUUCCAAUUUCUUUCAAAUUUAAUUUCUAAAUUUCUCAUUCUUACAUUUAAUUUCUAAAAAUCCUAUUUUCAAAUAAAUUUCAAAAAUCUAGUUUUCCCUCGAAUAGUUUUAAUUUCUAUUUGGUGAUGCAUGUGAUAUUUUUUGUGCUCUUUAUUGUACAUUGACCCCAUUUUUAUGAUAGCGCAUUGCUUGUUCGUGGCCCAGGUACGCAUCCAUUCCCAUUCUAGUCAUUCUCUAUGCAUGUUUUGAUUCCCAUAUGUGCAUGAUCGAUUUGAGUAUCCAUUGAUUUUCCUAUUGAUUGUUACGUCAGCUUCAUUUUAUUAGUAGAGACCCGACUUUAAAGACUUAGAGGGGUGCUACGGUCUUUACCGUACCUUCUUGAUAAGUAACCUAACCCUUGAGCCCAAUCCGGUUUUUCACAGACCAUAUUUUCCAAAAUAAGGAGUCACACUUAGAGUUUUCUUUUUUAUUUUGUUUAUACCCUUUUAAAAAUAAAACAAAAAUAAGUGGCGGCUCCAAGUCAUUUUUUUUAAUAAAUAAAAUCAUUUUCAAAUAAAAAUCGAGUUCGUCAUCGAGUGAAAAAUGCAUGAGCCGAAAUGCGGGGUCCACAAAAUGGCGACUCCACUGGGGAACGUUUAGAGGGUCAAGCUUGAACUUAAGAUGAAGUAAAUGUGGCAUUUGAUGAGUCGAUUAGUGGGCACCUAUCUCUUGAUUACAUAUUGAGAGUUCCCGAUACCAUUGGAUGCAUGCUUGGUUGUUUGUUUUCAUUUGGGACAUUGACAUGUUGAUUGUGUUGGUUGAUUAUCUUGGUUGGGGACUUUAAUAUAGUGAUUUUCUCUAUGCUUCAUUGGUAUAUUUGUUUGAUAUAUUUGACAUGCUGAUUGUGAUGAUUGAUUUGUCUUGAUUGAGGAUUCCGAGAUAGCUAUUUCUUCAGUACUUCAUUGUUAUAUUUGCUUGAGAUAUUGACAUUCUAAUUACAUUGAUUGCUUAUCUUAUUUUGCUUGGCAUAGUAACUCUGAUUUUGACAUGUUUAUUCUCAUCUCUUCCCAUAUAUAGACUCACCAUUGCAUAUCGCUUGACUUGCCAUAUUGUUUCUUUGUAUUGUAUAUUCUCUUGAUUGUCUUCGAGCAUGAUAUCUGCAUCAUUUCUCAUCUAAUUUUCAUAGUUUGUAUGUGGAUAUGAGCUAUAUAUUCUGUACUCUACUUGACUGUAUGUCACAUGACUGCCCUUCUUAUGCGUGAUUGUAUGUCGUUUGUCCGUGUGGGCCGCACAUCUAUCCCCUUACCUCCAACUCUCUUGGUUUUGGUCAUUCCCUUCAUUCUAGUUUUCACUUUUGCAAGUGUGAGGUCUUUUGUGUGUUUGUUUCUUUAACCGAGAUAGCGAUUAGGAGUAGGGUCUAGUGACGGGCUAUACCGAUGUUUGGGAGCAUCCUGUAAUUGAUCGACACUUUGAUGUCAAUUAGAGUUCGAUUGUUGAAAACUUGUAUAGCCCAGAGCUAGGUUUCAUGGAUAUUUGUACAGCUAGUAUGUUUCAUAUUCUGUAUUAGCUUCAUAGGGUUAUCGGAUGCACCCACACCGUUUAUUGUGCACUCUAAUUGACCACUGAGCGUUGAGAGUUCGAGAGGUUUCACCAUAGGAAACCCCCAUGGGAUGCCGAGAUAGUGUAUGUGUGGAGAUGAUGACCACCUUGCAUGGAAGCGCCCCGUUUCUUCAGAGGCGUGCAAAGGGUUGCAUACCACGGGAGGGUAUGAUCACUUCUGCUAGGGAUCCUUUAAAGUCCACAAAAUUUCUUUUUAGAGUCACCUUGACAUUGUAGGUUAAGCCUUAGAUCCUUCGAUCAAGACUUUCUUCCCUACACAUGGGUGCAUCUGAGGGCCUUUAGAGUCUCUUUAGUUACAGUUUGGAUCCCAAACUCCAUCUUUUGGUCUCCAGUUGAGAGUGCUUAGAUAUUAGUGCGAGUUUGAGUAUUAAUUGGACCACCUCUUGUUGUAUGAUUUUGGUUUCUUCCUGUCACUCAUCGAGUUUGCCACACUUUCUUCUUAGGGGUUUUAGAUAGAUUUCCUUUCUUGAGUUAGCAUUAUUUCCAUUUGUUGUCACUUUCUACUUGACGUUUUGGGAUAUGCUCAUUGAUUAUGCUCACUUUUUCACAUUCUCCACAUGUCAUGCGCUCAAUACUUCAUUCUUUGGUUGAUUUGCCUAUUUCAAUUUUCAACCCAAUAUUUUCAUUACAGAGAGGUGAAAGGCAUGUUUUCACAUUCACACCAGUUUUGAGAGGUUCGCCUUUGUCACCUUAUCAUUUUUCUUUAUGGAGCUCGGGUUGAAAGUGAAUCAAGGAUAUUUUGUUAUAGAUGGAAUAUCGAUCUAAUGACAGUGUUGUUUUUUCACGCCUCAUUCAUUUUCUGGAUUACUGAUAAAGAUUAUUUACUCACAUUUGUAGCCAUCUCACAAUGGACACCUCUAUGACUUUAGAGUUUUUGUCAUUUAUCCAGUUUUAGAUUGCUACCACAGGACCAUAUAUCAUAUGAUGUGUUGUACUUUUGAUUUGAGACAUCUCUUCACUUGCACCUUGAGGUCUUAAGGUUUGACCUAUCAUGGAGGACAUUGAGCCUAUUAACCUAGGAUCGGAGAUUUGACUUAGGAAGUUUCAGACUAUGACCCAUCUUCUUAUGAUCAGAGCAGUGUCUUACCCACUCUCACACCUUGACUUUGUUUUGACCUACAUCCAUCCAUUGUGAGCGUUACACAGCGUCACCCUUGAGACCAUUACAUGACCUUUCCAUCCCUAAUUGUUCUAGCUUUGUAUAUUAUUUCUUUGAUCCAACCAGGUAGAGUGUGAGGAGUUUGAGCCUAGGGUUGAUCUCGCGUGGCGAGGGAUGGCUUACGAUUUUUGGGUGGCUUACGACAUGAGGAUUGGUCGAUUACUUGAUGGACUGUCACUUAUUCUGCCAUGAGUAUAGAGAUUGAUAUUGUAUGAUGAGAGUUAGCUUGUGAUGAGCAGUUGUGCUUGAUGAGAUCGUCAUUUACUUUGCUUUGAGAGGAUUACCUUUGAGAUUAUUAUGGAGCAUUUGCAGUAUGGUUUGGCACAUGAUUCUAGAGGGUUGAUGUGGUUAUGUCAGAUGGAUAUUGAUCUUUAGUAUAGAUCAUUUAAGGGUUUGAGAGCACAAUGUUUGAGACUAUGGUUGCAAGAUGUGUGGCCUGUAUUUCGGUUAGCCAUGUACCCUUUCACCCUUUUGAUAUAUAUAGUCUGUUGCUAGCCCAUUGAGCCUCGCACGUGCAUUAUAACCUUUCUUUCUUAUCGCCUUGCUCACAUUUUUCACACCGGGAUAGGGGCCUUUUAGUAUAUGCAUUCAUUGUUUGGGAGUUCCAUGAGCCUUAGACCUAAGGGUGCAUUCUUCUCAUUAUCUCUUCUCAUCAUUGCAUCACUGCAUUCCAUUGUAUCUCAUUGUUUGUGUUCUUCGUCUCUUCUUCUUUAUUUUAUCUACUACUUGUUUUGCUUCAUAUUCUUUUCACCCUGAGAUGGUGUCUAUCCAUUAUCGACAUCAUCCUUGGGGUUCAUUUGUUCAUGUUCAGGGUAUGUACAUCUGUAUGUUAAAAAAAUGAAGUGAAAAAAAAAAUGAAAUGAAAAAAAAAACGCAUGUGUGUAUUAUUUUUUAUCAUUGAGUGUGUAUAUCAAUAUUCUAGGGUCACUUGAUUGAGUAUGUUUGUUGAUGGGAGUUCGUAUGUAAGCUUUCCGAGACCCUUCAUGCUUUGUAUUCAUCUUAUUGUAUAUUUUGAGAGCGAGAUGAGUGACCUUCUCUUAAGAGUUCUAGGUCAUUGUCCCUUCCAUCAUUACGUUCAUUGUUGAUGUGACUUCACUCCAUGUCUGAUUUGAGUUGAUCACUACUCCUCUUUAUGUUAUUUGUUUCAUCAUUAUCCUCGUUUUCGCUUCUGAUUCAUCAUUUUCACUUCACGUCUUAUUCUUUUCUUACAGCAACCCAUCUAGGGUUUGAUACUCUCUUCGCGUCAUCAUUACACAUAUCACUAUCAAUUCAUUUUGCUUCAUUGGUCUCCUCAUCGACAUCUUAUUCACGUUAGGCAUCCUCAUGUCCAUGGCUCACGGGAUUUACUAUACAUGGUGCAUUUCAUAUAUGAGGGCAUGGGUUUCUGAUCAUUGGGUAUUUGAGCCCUGUUUCCUUUCAUUUCUUUCACCUUAUUACCUUAGCCUACAUUACGUCCUAGGUCUUAAGAGCACCCUGAGGCCAUGAUAUCAUGCAUCGUGUUUUGAUAGCUCUCAUGUGGGCGAUACUUGGAAUUGGUUGGAGAGCAUUUUGAUUAUGAUAGGCCAUGAGUUGUGGUAUGACCCUAUACUGGGGCAUAGCCACCUCAGAGAGUUUUUUUUUUAUCGGGUAUGCAACCAUUCUGUUUGAUACAUCGCAUUGGGGCACACCUUUCUUGGUUGAGGUUUGAUUUUUUAGAUGGCCAUUAUGCCAGGGCAUACUUCUCUCAGUCGAUGAUGGAUUUUUGAGUCAUGGCCACCCUUCAGAGGAGAUCAAACAUCAUUUUUCACAUUGGAGCAUGAGGCAUGAUUGGUAUAUUUCAUCUGGUGUACUUUGCAUAGGGGCAUAUUUCUUAGUCGAUGAUGGUUUUUGAGGCAUAGCUGUUCCUUGGGGGUGAUUAGAUUCCUUUCACAUUGGGGUAUGAGAUAUGAUUGGGUGCUUUGAAUAGAUGUGUUUAUAGGAGCGUAACCUUCUCAUCGUUGUUGACAAAUGUUUGAGAUGAUUGGAUCAAGAUACUGACACUUAUGAGAGCAUGCAGCGGAGUUUAGUCAUUUUAGAGAUUGCAUUAUACUGGGGCAUAAUCCUUUCAUUGGUGAUUGAUCUUAGAGAUAUCAACUUACAUUUGGGCAUGAUCAUGUCAGAGCGCAUUUUGUUGAGGCAUGUCACUUUGAUUGAUCUUUUUCAUAUUGGGACAUGCUCUUUCUUUAGAUGAGGUCGGAUACUCUCUUUAUACCACCACGAUGACUUUGAGGAGUGGAGAUUCAUUUUGAUUAGAUGAUGUAUGAUUGGUUGUACUCCUCUCAUCGAUGUUUUAUUACAUUGGGGCAUUGCCCACCCAUCGACGAUGGAUUUUGUGAGAUGACGGUUUAUGCCAAACACAUGUUAUUCGGAUAUUAUCUUGCAUUGAGGGCUUACCCAUUUUGAGAGAAUGCAUUCAUACUGGGGCAUAGCCACCUUGCUGAUUUUGACAUUGAGACUCCACCUCCUAUUUAUGAUAGCUAGUUUUGAUGGAUCGUAGAGUUGUUGACACUUUGGGUUCAGACUUCUUAACAUACUUGGUUCGACUUGGAUACCCACUUUCCUUUGUUACACACUCAUACAUCUUACAUCCAGCACCAUUAUACCUGCAUCCAUCUUGUCAGAGUCUCACAUCUUUUGAGUUUCAUCUAGGGCAUACCCCAUUUCCAGAGAUAGUUGUGUCCUCAUUUUUUAGUGAGUUGAUCAUCCUGAUUUUAGUCACCCUUCAGUGGUUUGACUUAGAGUCAUAGACUACAAUCUCCCAUUUUGGGCGUACAAUGCCCCUCUUCAUGGAGUCACAUGACUCUCAUCACUCACGAGAUCAUGUCGAGUUGAUAGCCAAUUGUUAUCUUAUCAUGAUCCCCUAGUGGAGUCUUUCUUAGGCCAUUUAGUCAGACUCACACUUUUUAGCAUUUAGAUAUCAUCAUGCUUUUUCUUCUGGGAGACGUUUAUUUGAUCUACAAAUUCGAUUAAGUUGUGGACGUGGGUGGUUAGGAUUACACACUUGGUGAUGGAUGAUUUGAUGACAUCUAGUUUUCUGAUCUACCAUGCAUUUGAUGCCAUACUGGGGCACAUUCUGUUUCGGAUGAGAUUUAUGGAUUUUCAUGGAAGUUGCAUGCUUAUCUCCACUUUUGAGUUAUGGACGUGGAUGACCGGGAUUGCAUAGUUGAUGAUUUGGUGUCACCUGACUUUUGGAUCUACCACACAUUUGAUGCCAUACUGGGGCAUAUUCCAUUACAGUUGAGAUUCGUAGAUUUUCAUGGAGUUGCGCGAUCAUCAUCACUUACUGGUCGCACACUGAGAUGCUGACAUGUUCGUUACCUUAUCAUGAUACCUCGGUGGACCCUCUUUGGAUCCAUUUAGUCGGACCCUCAUUUUUUGACAUUUGGUUUCCGGCAUGAUACUUAUUCCGAGAGACAUUCCCUAGAUAUAUGGAUUUGAUUUAUAUCACAGAGAUCACAUGUUCGAUGAUAGAUAGUCUCAUGUCAUCUGAUUUCCGAUUCGUCAUACAUCUGAUGCCAUACUAGGGCAUAUUUCCAUUUUGGGUGAGGUUUACAGAUCUUCAUGGGGUUGUAUGAUCACCCCCACUUACGGGAUGCGCACCGAGGCGAUGACGUGCUCAUUAUUUUUACGAGGAUUUCUCGGUGGAGCCUCUCGGGAGUCAUCCAGUUAAGCCCGCACUUCUUGGCACUUAGAUUUCAUCAUGCUUCUCCAUCCGAGAAAUACCUCUUGGAUUUGUGGGUUUGAUUCUGUUAUGGACAUGGAUGACUAGGACCGUGCAUUUGAUGACAGAUGAUUUGAUGUCAUCUGAUUUUUCGACCCGUCACACAUUUGAUGCCAUACUGGGGCAUAUUUCCCUUUCGAUUGAGAUUUGUACAUCCCCACCGAUUCGCAUGAUCAUCCCUAGUUAUGAGAUACGCGCUAGGUUGAUGAUUCGAUUUCAUUUUGUCAUGACACUCUGGGGAGCCUUUCUUGAGUCAUUCAGUCAGGCUCAUACUUUUUGAUAUUGUUGUGAUUCUUAGACAGAGUUAUCUCAGACGCAUGGAUUCCCACAUCACCAUUUCAGUGGAGUACAUGUUAGAUCUCUUGCGCAUCCCCAUUGAGUUAUUUGCGAGUCAUCAGGGCAGACCUGGUACAUCUGAUGCCAUACUAGGGCAUAUUUCCCUCAUUCAGCUGUAGAGAUGAUGGUUUUCUCAUAGAUCUGAUGCAGCCGCCUUCAUCGCUCCACCGAGAAAUAUUUUAUUUGCUUUAUUGGCCACUAUUCCCGUGAUUUUCGUCGAGAUAAGCCUUCAGUAGAGCACAACAUUCAGGUUUUGACUGUCUCGCUAUCCAUGAUUCUUUAGUAGAUUGUUGUGAUGAGAUCAUGGUGGUUACCCCAACAAACUAUUCUCUUGAGACUCCCUAGUGGAUCAUUCGUUUCAGAUGACGAUGGACUCCUACAGUAGAGUAUUUCGAGUUAGAGUCAUCUAACUCGUCAAGCAUCGCGGUCCAAUCAGAUGGGUUGUGAGACUAUGUUCACAGUCGAUUUAAUCAUUCUAACUCGCUAGUAGAGCAUAUUUCGAGACUCAUGGAGUCUUUUUCAGACCUUUCUAGUGGAUUGAGAGUUAUGACGACAUGCUACACUGGGGCAUAUUCCCCCUUCAUCAUUUCCUUGCAAUUCUGGCGUUCAGAGCCACCAUACAUGCUCGGUUACGACAUUCAGAGUCGCCCUUUUUUAGCUUGGCAUUCAAAGCCACCAUGUCUUCUCGUUUAUGACCUUCAGAGUCGUAUCUCUCGGCUUGACUUUCAUAGCUACUGUUUCAGUUUGGUGCUUAGAGCCACCAUGUCCUCUCAACCAUGACGUUCAGAGCCUUUCUCAGAUUGGCAUUCCUAGUUAUCAGUUUAGUUUGGUGUUCAGAGCCGUUGUUUCUGCUUGGGAUUCAUAACUAUUAUCUUCGGUUUGGUGUUCAGAGCCACUUUCACAUUUCGACGUUCAUAGCUGUUGUUUUAGUUUGGCAUUCAGAGCCAUGGUUUAGGUUGACAUUUAGAGUUGUCAUCGUCUUUCCAUUCGGUGUUCUGAGCCACAUUUUUUGUUUCGGCGUUCAGAGUCAUUCUUCAUUUUCAUUUUGGCGUUCAGAGCCAUUGUUCAUUUUUCUUUUGCCAUUCAAAGCCACAUUUUCGUUUCGGUGUUCAGAGCGAUCGUUCAUCUUCCGUUUGGCAUUCAGAGUCAUUGUUCGUUUUCCGUUUGGCGUUCAAAGCCGUAGUUCAUCCUCAGUUUGGUGUUUAGAGUCGUUGAUCAUUUUUGUUAGGCGUUCAGAUUCAUGUCGUCAUCUUGGUGUUCAGAGCCGCAUUGUCAUCUUGGCAUUUAGAGUCGUAUCUUCAGUUUGGCAUUUAGAGUCGUAUCUUCAGUUUGGCAUUCAGAGUUGUUGUUUAUCUUUAGUUCGAUAUCUAGAGCCAUUUUCAGAUUGGUGUUCAGAGUCGUUAUUCCCUUUAGUUCGAUAUUCAGAGCUACACCUUCAAUUCAAUGUCUAGAGUCACAUUUUUUUCGUUUGGUGUUAAGAGUUGUUGUUCACUUCAUUUUGGCAUUCAGAGCCACAUCUUCAUUUUGGUGUUCAGAGUCGCAUUUUUAGUUUGGUGUUCAGAGUCGUUGUUCAUCUUCAUUUUGGCGUUUAGAGCCGCAUUCUCAUCUUGGGAUUCAGACCCACAUCUUCUUUCGGUUUGGCGUUCAGAGCCGCAUUUCCAUUUCGAUGUUUAGAGCUACCAUCAUUCUCAGUUUCGGCAUUCAGAGCCACUGUCUCUUCUCAAUUCGCCGUUCAGAGCCAGAUCUCCAGUUUCAGCGUUUAGAGCCACUAUCCCUUCUUAUUUUGGCAUUCAGAGCCACCAUUUCUGCCCAAUUUCAGCGUUUAGAGCCACCAUCCCUUCUUAUUUUGGCGUUCAAAGCCACCAUUUCUACCCAGUUUGGCGUUCAGAGUCACCAUCCCUUCUCAGUUUGGCUUUCAGAGCCACCGUCUCUUUUCAAUUUGGCGUUCAGAGUCACAUCUUCAUUUGGCACUCAGAGCCAUUACUUGUCUUCUAGUUUGGUGCUCAGAGCCACAUCAUUCAUUUCAGCAUUCAGAGUCACAUCUUUAGUUUGAUGUACAAAGUCGAUGUCUUCUAGUUUGGCGUUCGGAGCCACAUUCUCAGUUUGACACUCUAAGUCCUCAUGUCUAUCUUUCAUUCAAUCCAUCACCACUUCCCUCUAUUCUGGCAUUCAAAGCCAUUAGGCACACUCUUUCGGGCCUUUUUGAGUCAUUUCUUUUUUUUAAUUUUGGUGUGCAGAGCCGUUUUUUAUACCCAUUCAUGCAUCUUGAGUAAUUUCUUUUCUUAGUUUUGGCAUUUAGAGCCAUUGUUUUGUUUAGCAUUCGACGCCACCAUCUUUCUUCAGUUUGGUGUUCAGAGCCAUUGUACAUAUCCGUUCAGGCACCUUGAGUCACCAUCUUUCUGUGUUUUUGAUGUUUAGAUUUCCCCUCAACUGUCCAUGGCAUUCAUAUUCACUGGCAUUACACAUCUUGCCUUCAUAGGUUUGCAUUUAUCCUUAUUUUUCUCACCUUGUUACCCUGUGCUUAUCGUUCAUUCGUCAUUGCUUUUCUAGAUUUCCCUUUUCACUGCCCAUGACAAAGUCCUUUGAGUUCACGACACAUACUUCAGUCAUGUUGUUGGGCACCCUGCACUUAGCAUUCUCAUGUGGUUCACAUAUGAUAGUCUCAUUUAGGCACAUUCGUUCUUACACUCCAAAGUGGUUCGACCAUUACUCAUCUGUGAUAUGGUUUUCCAAGUCACUUUUGGAGACGUCUUAGAGGGAGUCUAGAUCCUUAGUGUGGCUUCAGAGGCACUUUGAGAUAUCAUUUUCUUUUAGGAUUAGAGCAUUUGUGUUCAUUCCUUGGUUUGGGCGAGUUCGUGUUCUACUUGUGCACCUUUAGGGGUCUUUCUUUUUCUUUGGUAGAGUUUACUCCAUUCCACUCACUAUUCACACUUUCUUUUCACUCUAGUGUUCAUAUUUCUUACGCUCGUGAACUCUACCGAAGAGGGGCAUAUUUGUAGAACCCUUUUGCGGACGACCCGGGAAUUGAAAUAUUUUCAUUUUUGGAAGUGAGGGGACCUCUUUCUAGAGGGGGCGAGCCACAUGGGACAUGUGGCAAAGACGACAUGGUGGUAGCAGGGAGCAGGUGAAGACUUGUGGGAAAAGAAAAACAGAGGGAAGUGUCUUCAUGUUUUUAGGGGGGUGAGCUAGCGGUUGUGGAGGUGGGGGUGUCUGGAAACAGAGAGAAGAAAGAAGAAAGGAUAUGAGGUUUUUCUGGCAUUUAAGAGGAUUCCGAAAAUUUUUUGGGGCUUGGCUGGAGGAGUAAUCUUGCCUGGAGGAAAAUUUGAGGAGCUUGAGAAGAAACUAGUGAGGGUGGAUAGCUUAGGGAUAGAGGAUUUCCUGGAUGGAACAUAAAAUAAAGCUCAGAGUCAGGCGAGCUUUCCUUUGAAAAGUGGCCCUUGAGGUGAGAUCAGUUUUUACUGAAUUUGACGACUUUUACAGUGUAAUUCAUCCCGAUAUUUUAUUUCGAUUCUCUGCAUCGAUUGCCUUGCCGUGGAAUUUUACAUUCGUAGCCCCUUUUGUGCACUCAAUUUCCUAUAUUUUAUUCCCUCUGAUGCUUUCUUUAUAUGUUUCUUCAACUGUAUGCGUUUUUGCCUGAAGAUUUGAUUGUGCUAGUGAAAUUUGUUGCUCAUCUGUGUCUCUAAAGUGUUGGGUACCUUAAUUGAGGCAUUUUUACAGUGAAAACCUCAAAAGGGAGAUUUUGGGGAAUAAGCGUUUGUGUAUUUUUUUUUUUUUUCUUCCUAUGGAGAAGAAAGAGUGAAGAAUUUGUGAAAUGGCAAACCGUUAUUGGUCUGUUUCUAUUGAGCGGCAUUUCGGCUAUGUGGUUCUCAUCCCAUUUAUGCAGCAUUGAGUUUGAAUGCCCAGAAAGAUCUCUUUGAUCAGUGUGGGGAAAAUAGGAAAAGGGUUAGAUGGCCCUUAAUUGGUCAUUACUCCUCUUUCUACUCUCUCAAACUGGGCAAAUGAAAUAGCAAGGUUUGUGCCCUCAAUAAUUGCAAUCAUCUAAGAUGGCAAUAGGAAAGAAAGAGAUCAAAUACGAAUGACGUAUAUGCCAGGAAAAAUCAGCCCCAAAUUUCCUAUAAUUCUGACUUCUUAUGAGGUUGCAUUAAAUGAUGCUAGAAAGUAUCUAAGGAAAUAUCUUGUAGUUGAUGGUGGGGCCACAGAUGUAAAUUCAUGAUGUGCACCUUGCAACACUUUGUUUUAUUUUUCUUUGGGCUACCAGGAUGUUCAAACAUCAUUUGAAAACCUUAAGUGUGGUCACUUUGGCACAUGGCCCCGGUAAGUUUUUGACUUUUUAUUUAUUUUCUUAUGAUUUUAACAGUUUUCCUUACUCCAAUUUUCCAAAAUUCCUUUCAUGAUUCCACUUCUCAAAUAAUUUUUAAAGCUUUCAUUUUAGAAUAGUCUUCUAGAAUUCCCAUUUUCAUAUUUAUUUAUUUAAUCAUUAUUCUUUUUUUAUUAUUAUUAUUUUAUUUAUUCACUUUUAAAAUUCUAUCUUUAAGUAAUUCUUAAAAUUCUGAUUUCCGAAUUUAAUUUCCAAUCAUUAAAGUUCAAUUCUUCAAAAGUCUAACUUCCAAAUUUAAUUUUCAAUCUCAAAAAUUCCACUAUUCAUGUUCAUUCGUUUAAAUAUUAUUUUCGUUAUUAUUAUUAUUAUUAUUCCAUAUUUAUUUAUUUAGUUAUUUAAAAAAAAUUCAAUCAUUAAAAUUCAAUUCUUCAAAAAUCUGAUUUCCAAAUUUAACUUUCAAUCUCAAAAAUUCCACUAUUCACGUUUAUUUGUUUAAAUAUUAUUUUUGUUAUUAUUAUUAUUAUUAUUCCAUAUUUAUUUUAAAAAUUCCAACCAUUAAAGUUCAAUUCUUUAAAAAUCUAACUUCCAAAUUUAAUUUUUAAUCUAAAAAAUUCCACUAUUCACGUUCAUUCGUUUAAAUAUUAUUUUUGUUAUUAUUAUCAUUAUUUCAUUUAUUUAUUUGUUUAUUUCCUUUAAAAAUUCUAAUCAUUAAAGUUCAAUUUUUCAAAAUUCCGUUUUCCAAAUUUCAUUUUCAAUCUUAAAAAUUUUACUAUUCAUGUUCAUUCGUUUAAGUAUUAUUUUCGAUAUUAUUAUUAUUAUUCUAUUAAUUUACUUAUUUAUUUCUUUUUUAAAAAAAAUAUCCGUCUUUAAACAAUUCUUCAAAAAUCUUACUUACAAAUCUAAUUUCCAAUCUCAAAAAUUCCACUAUUCACAUUCAUUUGUUUAAUGAUUAUUUUCGUUAUUAUUAUUAUUCCAUUCAUUUACUUAUUCACUUAUUCAUAUAUUUAAAAUCUCAUCUCUAAAUAAUCAUUCGAAUUUCCAAUCUCUAAAUUCAAUUUUCAGUUUCUAAAAUUCUAACUUUCGCAAUUAUUUAUCCAAUCGUUAUUAUUUUCGUUAUUCUAUUCAUUUAUUUAUUCAUUUGUUCGUUUAUUUAAAAUUUCAUCUCUAAAUAAUUCUUUAAAUUUCCAAUCCCUAAGUUCAAUUUCCAAAUUUCAAAAUUCUAACUUUCACAAUUAUUUAUCCAAUCAUUAUUAUUUCGUCAUUAUUAUUAUUCCAUUCAUUGAUUUAUUCACUUAUUCAUCUAUUUAAAAUUUCGUCUUUAAAUAAGUUUUCAAAAUUCUGAUUUCCAAAUUUAGUACUCUAAAAUUCCAAUGUUCCCAUCACUGAACUUAAUUUUCAAUUUCCAAUAUUUCAAUUCUUGCAUUUAUUCAGCUACUCAUUUAUUAUUAUCAUUAUCAUUUUAUUCAUUCAUUUCUAAAAAUUCCGCCUUCGAAUGAUUUCCAAGAUUUCCAAUUUUUAUAAUUCAAUUUUUGUAGUUUCUACUUCUCAAAUAAUUUUCAAUUCUGAUUUCUUUUAAAAUUUAAUUUUUUUAAAAUCCCAAACUCUCAAAUAAUUUUCAAAAUUCCAAUUUCUUUCAAAUUUAAUUUCUAAAAUUCUCAUUCUUACAUUUAAUUUCUAAAAAUCCAAUUUUCAAAUAAUCUCUAAAACUUCAAUUUUCAAAUAAUCUCUAAGACUCCAAUUUUCAAAUAAAUUUCAAAAAUCCAAUUUUCCCUCGAACAGUUUUAAUUUCUGUUUAGUGAUGCAUCUGAUAUGUUUUGUGCUCUUUAUCGUACACUGACCCCAUUUUUAUGAUAGUGCAUUGCUCGUUCGUAGCCCAGGUACGCAUCCAUUCCCAUUCUGGUCAUUCUCUAUGCAUGUUUUGAUUUCCAUAUGUGCAUGAUCGAUUUGAGUAUUCAUUGAUUUUCCUAUUGAUUGUCAUGUUAGCUUCAUUUUAGUAGUAGAGGCCCGACUUUAGGAACUUAAAGGGGUGCUACAGUCUUUACCGUACCUUCUCGAUAAGUAACCUGACCCUCGAGUCCAAUCCGGUUUUUCACAGAUCACCUUUUCCAAAAUAAGGAGUCAUACUUAGGGUUUUCUUUCUUAUUUUGUUUACCCUUUUAAAAAUAAAACAAAAAUAAGUGGCGACUCCAAGUCAUUUUUUUUAAUAAAUAAAAUCAUUUUCAAAUAAAAAUCGAACUCGUCAUCAAGUGGAAAACACAUUAGCCGAAAUGCGAGGUCCAUAGUUUCCCAUCAUGUUUCUAUUUUGUUGGAAUUUGAAUAAGUACAUAAUAAUUUUGUUUUAUUUUAUGGAUGAUAACUUCAUUUAACAUGUUAGUAUUCAUCAUCUUUCAUUUUGCCAUCCAUUUUUAGAGACUUUAAAUGCUUUCUUUAGAUACCCAUUUUUCAAUUUCAGUGAAUAAAUUGGGUAUAAGAGAUUUGCUAACUUCACUCAACAACUUCUAUUUAAGAUUUAGAAACUUGUGAACCUCAUGUUUUCCCCUUUGAAAACAUUGAAAUUUUGAUAUGGAAAGUUAAAAUAUCACAUAAACAAUCAAUUUUAAUUAUUUAAAUUCACUUCUCAAAAUUAAAAUUAAAAAUCCCUCUUGUAUGAUCUAAAUUAUCUUAGAUUUCAACUUUUUAAUUCACUUAAAGUAUUGAAUAAGUUAAAAAAAAUAAAAUAUUAUUAAUUAUGAUUAUAUAUAUAUAUAUAUAUAUAUAUAUAUUUGUUUUUGUUUAACUAUUAAUAAUUAUAAAAAUAGAGAGAUAACUAAAAUGACAUGACAUAAGUGAUAUAAAAAUAGAUAACAACUACAAUGAUACAAGUGAGAUUAAAAUUGGGAAUUCACUCAAGUUGGAGAAUUAUUUAUUCUAAUAAAAAUACUAAGAAAAUACGUUAAUUAUUGUAGCAAAUUCUUUUUUUCUUCCACUCUAUUUGGGCAUCUAUUAUAUUGAAAAAAGAAAUAAAAGAAACCUCAUACAUAUUUAAAAUAAUUUAUUUGAGAAGAUUCUAUCAUUAAAAAUUCCACAAAAGUUCCAAAAAAAAAAAAAAGAUGCCAGAAAUAGUAUGUAUAGAGAAAAGAGUACAAAAGACAAAUAUAUAUAUAUAUAUAUAUAUAUAUAUAUAUAUAUAUAUUAAUUUAAAUUUAAAGAGAAAAGGUAAGAGUAAUAAGUCAGCAUUGAAAAAAAGAAAGUUUACUUUAAUAAAAUUAUAAUCUCAUAAAUUAAAAACUUCAAAAGUAUCCAAUCAAAUCCUUUAAAAUUCUUUCCUUCUAAAAAUUCCCUCUAUUCCAAAUCCAUUAUUUCCUUUUUCAUUUAAAUCCCUUCAUUCCAGAGUGUAAAAAGAAAUAAUAACAAUCUUCCUAAUAAGUUAUUAAUAUAUAAAAUAAAAAAUAAAAAAUAACACUUUUUUAAUAAUUUAGGAUAUAUUAAUUUUUUUUCUUCAAGAAAGAUGUAAUUUUUUCUUUUAUCUAAAUAUAUUACAUUUAGAAAUAAUUGCUCUUCUAAUAUCGAAAAUUAAGAAAUAUUAGAAGAUCGAGUAAUUUUUUAAUAAAUUAUAAAAAGAUCCAAUAAAAAAAAAAAUUAUUCCUUUAUUCAGGCAUAUUAAAAAAAGACAAUAUUCUAAAAAUAGGUAAUAGAAAAAAUAUCACAAUUAAAAGGUUUAUUUCUUUUAGUUAUAUUAAAAAAAGAAACAAGGUUAUUUCAAAGAUAGAAAAAAAAAAAUACAUUAGAAAUAUUAUCAGUUUUUUAGUUUUAUUUUCAUAUUCAUCUUGGGGUUUUGUGAAUAAUUAUUAAACUGUUAAUUAUUUAUUUGGUGGUAUUAUAAUCUGAGAUGGUGAGAUUAGGGGAGUAAAGCACAGGUCACUUCUGAUGAAAUAUAUCUUUUCUCUUCCAACUAAGGCCCAAAUAAAUAAUGGGCUUGGGGCAAAGCCCUAAUACUCAACUGAAUGGACUGGGCUUGGUUAUCUAAGAAUUUGUUGCUAGUGCCAUCAUCUUUAUUUGUGGGUAUCUAAGAAUUUCAUUUAACCAUGAAGAUAUUUCUUUACAACAAGGGAUUGGAAGAGUUUUUUAAAAGCAAGCCUCUGGUAGUUUUUUCUAAAAUUAUAUACCUUCCAACUAGUUUUGUAUUGUGCUAUUUUUAAUUCCACUUUCAAUAUAAUGCUUCUUAUCAAUUUUUUUUUUCAAAAAAAAAAAAAAAAUUAUGGUAGGAAUCGUUUAACAUUGAAUACAUAUUCAACAAAACUUCAAUUAGGUGAAUAUGAAAAAUUAUAAAUUGAAUGGGGCCUAGAUAUUGUCGAACCCUUGUGAAAAUACAAUAGGAAGGUAAUACUAUUGUAAUCCUCUCCUUUUUAUAGGUCGGAUCAUACUCAUACAAACAUAAAUUAAAUUUGGAUUGGACUUUCCAAAAUAUAAUUUUUCAUCAUUANNNNNNNNNNNNNNNNNNNNNNNNNNNNNNNNNNNNNNNNNNNNNNNNNNNNNNNNNNNNNNNNNNNNNNNNNNNNNNNNNNNNNNNNNNNNNNNNNNNNUAAUCAUUAAUAAAGUGGAAAGAAAUUUUAUUUUUUUAAAAUAUCAAGAUGAGAAAGAGAAAAUUAAAGUCAUGGAAUUACUUUUAGAGCUAAUCCAAUUGAUGGAAAUUUGAGAAAACCUCCUAACAGGCAAAGUAAUCAACCCUAAACAUAAAAAUAAAGCAUUAAGGGCAUGAGGACUUAAACUUCACUCAGGCUACUAUCUAGAUUUUUGUCCCUUGUGAUGUGAUCACCAAGACAAAUUGCUUCCAAGUCUUCUACUCUAAGUCAUCCACUGGCCCACAUCUUUUAUGGAUAAGGCUAGACUUUUACACUUACAAGUCAUGUGCAUACACUUCUAUAUAUAUAUAUAUAUAUAUAUUUCACUUUUCCUUCAAAUAAUCUUUAACAAAACUUUUAUCAUAUUUAUUUUUUCAAGUAUUCUAUCAUGCCCAUUUAUAGUAUACAGUUGAGACAAUGAUUGAAUCACUAUUUUUAAUUAUUUCCUACGAAAUGUUACCUGAAACCCAUCUAAAGUAUUGAAAUUUGUUGGGUGUGGAUCAAUAGUGGGUUGACAUGUGUUUGAUUUUUUAAAUUUUGUAUUUAUUUUUACUAUCUUUAUUGGAUUAGAUAGCUCUUAAGGAUUUUGAAACAUAAGAUGUUGAUUGAAUGAUAAGAAAGUAAUUUUUUUCUUCCACGACUCUGUAUCCCAUAUUUAAUAAAUAUUUGUGUGGUCUAGAUCUAACAAAAUAAUUGAAGUUCCGUGUUAUAAAAGGAAUAAAUAAAUAAAAAGACAAGGACUUGUUGAUAUUCUCGAGGUCUUGAUGUUUGAUUGAUGCAGACUGGAAAGAGAGAAAUAGAAGAACCUUCAAGAUUGUCGAUAAAUUAAAGCUCUUGGUGAAAAAUAUAAUUCUUUACUCGUUGCCACCAUCAAAUAUGCUUAUGAUGUGAUUGGUUUUUAUUUUGUAAAAAAUUACGAUACAUGGCAUUGAAUAAUACUAUGCACAAAAUAUUUUUCUAGCACAAAUACGUAUUUUUGUAUGCAUAAGAUACUAUUUAAGUAUAAUAUAAUUAUUAUUAUUAUUUAAAUAAUUUGCCUAAAUAUAAUAUAUCAUUUGUAGAUAAAGAAUUGAAAUAUCAAGAAAAAGUGAUCCUAAUUUAGGGUUAUAUAAAUUACUCUUUCAUUAAAUGUCUUGAUAAAGAUUGAAUAUUGUUAGGAUUAGGACACCCAACAAAUAUUGGUUCAUACAAGCCCCAAAUCAAUGCCAUUAGUUGGCCUUUGAAAGAUCCAAACAACACUUAUAAUUUUUUAAUUAUAUUUUUAUUUAUCUAUAGGUCAAAUACUUGCUACACAAGUGAUUUCAAAUAUAAUAUUAGUAUGGAAUGGUUUAUAUUAGAAAGUUUACAAUAAAUUUAUUUAAGAAAAUAUAUCUAAAGAAAAAUUAUAAAUAUACAUGAUAAAUGUUAAGAUUCCUACAUCGAUACAAGUACAAAACAAACAAUUCAACAACAAAACUUUCUCCCUUUGAAAGUGAAGAUUAUUUUUACUUGGAAACAACAUUUAUAUACAAUGAAGUUUUUCAACCUUAAGUUUUUGUCUCUCAAUCUAAUCCACUAGACACGUUUGUGCUUUAAAAGUUAGAACUACUUUAUAGGGAAGACCAAGACUUCUAGCUAUUGAUAUAGAGUUUUCUUUAAAAGAUAAUACUAAGACUACAUAAUUCUUACUUGUAGAUUUGUACACAAAUCAAUCACAUGAAAAGGUAGAAUCCACAUUGUUAACCAAACUUUCAUAAACUUUAUAUGAAAAUAAUUAUUUUGAAAAUAAUUUUGGAUACAUAAAACAAAAUAAUUUAUAAGUGCUAAAAUAAUAAUUAUAUUCUUGCAUUAAUCCAUGAAGUGAGAUUGAGUCACCUUGUAAAUUGUAUUGUAAAGGUCUUCAACUCACUACUGUCAUAUAGUGGAUGGGUCAUUUGUGUGGUGUAUGUUGUUAAAAAUAAACAAUAAGAAAAAAAAAGAUAUAAGAAUGAGAGUGUGGCUUGAGACCUCAAUUUAUAAUAAGUUGUACAUCUCUUAGUCUUCCCAUUAAAGACUAUGUGGGAGUUAUACUCAUUAUUUACACUUAUUAUGUAUAAAUUAAUGGGUAAUGGUGGGUUAUGAACUUGAAUACAUCUAUAUAAUUGCAUAGGUUAUACAUUUUCAUUUUCCUCCAUUACUCAUAAACAUAAUGUACAAAUAAAUUUCAUAAUGAUGGGGUUACAAAAGUUGUAACACCACAUUCAUAUGAGUUAAAUUUUAUAACUUUCCAUUUGUAAUUUGAGUCUUCCAUACAUAAGACUUUUGGAUGCCCAAUCAAUUGAUUCACCUACCUAUCAAUUGAUACCCUUAAAUAAUAUUCAUAUAAAUAUAAUUAUAUAUGACCACACAUUAUAGGAAAAAAGCUAACACACACAACUUUGUGGAUGGAAAUCAAGAUUUUCGGCUCCUUUCUUUUUCUUUCUUUUUAGUGUCUAAGGUUUAAGUUUGUGUUUUAGAUACAUAACUUAAAACACAAAAUAAAUGACCAACCAAACUAUGAUUAUCUAGAUAGUAUUUUAAAAAAUAUAUAAAUUUAUAAUUUAAUCAAUUUGAUCUCAAUUAUGUAUAGGCACUUUGAAUCACAUUCAUCUUUGUCAUCCAGAUAAAAAAAAAAAAAAAAUUCAAAUCCAUAAUUAUGCAUCCUAAUCUCUUUUUAAACAUGAGGGAUUUAUAACCCCCACUACUUGAUGGACCCUUUCCUAAAGGUGAUUCAAUGCCACUUUGUUUGAUCUUCACAAUCUUUAUCACAUUCUUUGAUCUUUUGCAUUCUUUGAAUAAUUCAAUAUUAUUGAGGGGUCAUUCUCAUUAAAUGAGAAUAUUGAAAAAUCUAACCCUUUUGGAAGGGUAUGAAGAAGGUUUCAUAUCAGGGGACCCAUGUCUUACUUUUCCACCCAAAGCAUCGUAAUGCAUUCUAACUUUUUUUUGGCAGGAAAAGUAUUUGUAAUGUCAAUCUCUAACCGUGGCCAUAAAAGGGUGAGAUUUAGAGCCACACAAGUCAUAUCAUAUUCUGCAGAUUGUAGCCUCACAAGUCAAGUCCACAGGAUAUAUAUCAUCUAUAUAUUCUGCAGAUUCUGUCAUAUUUUUUUCUUUCGUGGACAGCCCAGUCACCAAUGAGUAUCACACUUUCAUAUCAUAUUUCUUUUUAAGAAUCCAAACAUUUUAAAACGGGUUAUGGGUGAUCCAGCAAAAAUUUACUAUGGUGGCAUUUUUUUUUUUUUUUUUUAAUUUGAAGUUUGAAAUCUAAAUAGAAAAUGAUGGAAAACUGUUAUUUAGACUUGAAAUUUCAUUAAAAAAAAUUAUUUGAACAAAAUAUCUAAAAAAAAAUUAACUUAAAAAGGAAAUGGUUUUGUCAUUAACUUUAAUAAUAUUUAAUUUUAUAUAACUAAUGGUAAUUGGAUCAUGGAUCCCACCAAUCAAAUAAUUUUUUGGAUUCAUUCAUUGUGCUAUUUGAUUAUAAAAAUCAAAUAUUUAAUUUUUUUUAUAUAUAUACUUUUUAUUGUAAUUUUGUAUUACUUUUACAAGGUUGAGUUUUUUUUUUUAGAAACUUUUCAAAAAAUACAAGAGAAAAAAAUAAAAAGAAAAAUAAAAUAUAAAAAAAGUAUAUAAAAGUAAAAAAAAAAAAGAUUUAAAACUAAUAAAUUAUUUUUAAUUGAUUUCUCAAACUCAUUUUAUGUAUUUUCUUUAUUUAUAUAAAAUUAAAUAAUUUAAAAAUAUACAAUUAUUUUAAUUAUUUUGAUUUGAUUUUUCUAUUAUAAAUCAAAUACAUAAAAUAAUUUUUCUUAGUUUCUAUAUAUCUUCCAUGUGUUUGUUCUUUUUUAGAAAUAUCCCAUAAAAUAUGGACCUUUUCUAAUCAACCAAACACCCAGGAGGAACAAAAAGGAAAAGAAUGAGAGAGAGAGAACUUAGAGAAAAAUAAAAUGAAAAAACCGCUAAAGAUAGUAUACAUUUUAUAUAAAGUUGGAAUAUAAAUCAAUGGAGCCACACCCCUUCAACAACCCUAAUCAUGUUGUAUCCAUAAUAAUAAUUCACAUUUUUUUAUUUUUUUUUCAUAUCAGUACACAUUUGACCUGAUCAUGAGCAAUAAUAAAUGUCCACAUUUUAAUAGAUUUGAAAUCUUCACCCAUUAAUUUAAGUUCUUCAUCUAAUGAAUAAUAAAUGUCCAUAUUUUUCUACGAGGCCACAUAGGACUUUGAAUAGUUUAAAGUGAACAUGUUACCUCAUUAAUUUGGAGACUUUACAUACUCUAUAAUACUAUAAAAUGUUGGAUAGAUCACUAACCUCAUUUAAAUAAUAAAAUCUUCUAAUUCUUUUUUUUUUUUUUGUUCUGAUUUUUACAUGAUUGUGCUUUAUUUUAUAAAUUAAUUAAUAAUUAUAUUUAUUUAUCUUGGCUUCCCGUACAUAUUUUACGAAAAUAUUAUCCAUGUAUGUAAUACACAAGAUGAAUGCACCCUUACAACUAAAUUCAUCUUUUAAAUUUGAAAAAAAAAAAACUAAAAAUUAAUAUUUUUUUAAUUAACAUUUAAGUAAUAAAAAUAACAUAACCAAUUUAAUUUUUGGUUUUUCAUUUUUAAAAUAUUACUCUUAUAUUUCAUAACUUUUCAUCCUUAAUGUGCUACAAAUCUUUUUACCACUAUAAGGGUUAUGACAUGAAAAUUAUGUGUAUGGAAUAAAUAAGAAAAAGAAAAUUAAAUUGUCUUAUUAUUUUGCAAUGUAGUUUCGAUUCCCAAACUUUCCUCAAAUCUCUUUGGUUAUAUUUGAUUAUUGGAAAAUGACAAUAAAAAAUAUAAAAAAAAAUAUUAUUCUCUAAUGUUUGGUUUUCAUAUUGAAGAUAUCGGAUAUAAUUAAAAUUAGUUAAAAUUUUUGGUAUUUUUAAAUUAUUUAUUUUUUAUGUUGAAAAGUUAAAAUAAAUAAAAUGAGUUUAAAGAACCUACAAAAUAAUUUAUUAAAUUAAAAACUAUCUUUAAUUUUUAUUCAUUUUUUUCUUCACAUUUUCUAUUAAACUUACGGAGAACCAAACACAUCCUUAGUAUUUUCCUUCUUUUUUUGUUAAUGUUGUUUUCCCUUGUCUUUUUCCAUAGUAUUUAAAAAUAAUAAAUUUGUUCCCCUUUCUUUUACAUGUAAAAAUAUUUACAUAAUCACAUAGAUUAAUCAUACAUGAUUAAAGGAUACUAACAAUAGGAAAUCACUAUAAAGAACAUACCUGUUUGAGCCAUGAUAAAAAAAACGUGAUUGAUUGUUGUAACCAAGUCUUCCUCUCUAUGAUCUUGAUAAUAGCUAUGGUGGCUCUAUGGGAAAACAAAUAAACCCUUUUUAUCUAGAUUAGAGAGGGGACUUAGCAUAACUCAAAUUGGAUUCUCAUUGGGCCCUCCCAUAAUGGGCUUCAAUGAGACCCAUAGCCUACACUUGCCACUCAACUGAGCUUCUACUCAAAAGAUGCAAAACCCAAUCCAAAAUGUGAUCACUAGUUAAUUGGGCACAUUAUAGAAUAUACUAUCCAUUAACCCGUUUUUGCAAAUACAAAUUAUUCAAUUAAUGUUAGCCCAUAUAAAAAAUUUCCAACAUUCUCCCACUUGGGCUACAUUAAUUGUUUUUGAGGAUUCAUUAAAUUCAUUUUGAAAAUAAGACUCUCGGGUUAAGUACAAAAAAGUUUAUUUUGUGUGGCCACACCUUUUUUUUUUUUGAAAGAAAUGAUAGUCUAUAAGUAGCAUCUUGUUAAACUUUUCUGGUCCAACAUAGUCUUAAUAUUAGACUAUAAUGGUCUAUAUGUUAAUCUCAACAAACAUAAUGCCCCUUAUAGUCACGAAUAUUUAUAACCAUAUCGACAUGGAUCGUAAACUCAGUAGUGUAGUAAGAAAUCAAUGCCAACAUGUGAUCAUCAUCUAUAUGCAUUGUUUCUUAUCAGUCCUCAUUACAAUUUACCAACAAAAUGAAAUUGUAAUUACAAUUUCUCAACAAAAUGAAAUUGUUGCAAUUUCUAAACAAUAUGAAAUUGCUUGACUUUAACAAGUCAUAUGUCACCAACAAUGCACCACAAAAUCUCAAAAUAGUGGUAUUUGUGACAUCCAAUAGUAUACAACUGUAAUUCUUAAGGUUCAAUAUCUCAAGAUACCAUGUUGUACGUAAUUCAAUUACGACAUGCUAUAAUAUAAUACUUAAUUAUGAUGAUCAUAAUAAAAAGAUUUUAAUUUUGCAAGUUGCAGAACAAUAAUGAUCAAUGUUUGCAUAAAACAAUAAUUGAAAUAAGGGAAAUCACAAAAGCUCCCACUAAACCAAAGAAUCAAAAGACUUAAUGACACCCAUAUUCACAACAUGUUCCUUGAACGUUAUGGGCUUUAAACCUUUGAUUAGAGGAUCAGCUAGCAUGGACUCAGUUCUUAUGUGCUCAAUCACAAUAUCUCCUUUCUUCACUAAGUCCUUGACUGUAAGGUACUUGAUUUCCAUAUGCUUAGAACCCGUACUAAUCUUAUUGUUCUUAGAGUAGAACACAACUGCAUUAUUGUCACAAUAAAUCACAAUAUCCAUCAUUCCUAAAACAAACUCUAUGUCUAAUCUCCAUCUCUUAUAGUUCGACCCACUUAGAAUUUCAAUUGUAGCAUUAUUGUUGUUCACAGCAAAGGAAACUGAUUGACAAAAUUUUGCAACUAGAUCAAUUAUGGGCAAUAGGUAAAAAAAACUUAAAUAAUCAUAAGCAAUACAAUACAAGAAUCAAUUGUACUAUCAUAAACUCCCCUUUGGGCAGAGUCCACAAUAAACAACUAUUCUCUAAGCAUGAAGAUCAACAAAUAAUUCAUUAAAAUUUAUUUCCUUUGGGCAAAUAAAUUUAUCAAAUUAUUUAUCUCAUUAAAUAUCCUCAUGUUGUUAAAUUAAUUUGCACAAUAACCCCCUUUGGGCAGGCGAUUGUACAAAUUAAUCUAAAAUUUUCCCCAUCAACAAAAUAGGAACUCAUAAACUUGCAAAUUUUGAUGGUUAAAUCACUUUGGUAAAAUAACCUCAACAAUUCACAGGCAACGUUCCAAAAUUGGGUAAAUUAAAAAAAAUUGCCCAACAACAAUAGUGCAUAUUUGCGAUAUAUAUGCAUAUGAUCAAUUAUAGUUGCAAGAAUUUGAACAACAAUUUUUAUUUAUUUAUUACACUUUAAAUUAAUUAUUAACUAGUUUAUGUGAUUUAGAACAAGUAGGAGAGUAUGCAUGAAAAAGUUUCAAUCUAGAGAGAGUGAGUACUACACUCCUAUUCCAUAUAUAUUAGCAUAAUUUCUGGUAAAUUCUCAACAGAAAAUUAUACCAAAAAAUAAUUUUAAGCUAAUUAAAUCACAUAAAUAAGUAAUAAUUAUUUAAUAAAUAUUUUUGACCCCCCAAAAAUAAAAUAAUAUAUCUAGAAAAAUAUAUUACAAAAAAACGAGCGCACAGGAAAAAACGGAGCUCAAAAUGGACACUGGAUGAGGUUAUACGCACCUCACACACUUGACCUGCGAGUGGGGAACGUGUGGCACAUGUGGCAUGUGUGGCAUGUGCUGGAGGUCAUCUUCAACCUCCAGCAUUGGGUCCAAAAUUCUGCAAUACGGGUCAAAUGAGCCGGUUGCAACCUGGAUUGCAAACAAUUGAAAAAAAUGUUUCUUUUGAUCGGGAUCUUGAGGGCUUUUAAACUUUAGGUUGUUUCUAACAAUUUUAGGACAUUUAAUCAUAAAAAAAAAACAACUUAAAGAUCUCCAUAAUUGAUUAACAAAAUUCGGUUUUUCUUACCUCCAUAGCUAAGAUUCAAAAACUCUAUUUUAACACCUAUUUCGGUCUCAUUUUACAUGUAUUUUUACAUUAACAAUAUAAGAAGUCUCUUUACAACAAUUAAUUAAACAAAAAAAAAAAAAAUUCUCAAUCUUGCUCAAUUUUUUUUUUUUUUUUAAAAAAAACGAAUUUUCUAGGGUUCAUACCCAUAUUUUCAAAUUUUCAAUUUUCACCAAAUUGAGCCAAAAAACCGAAAUUAAUGCUACAUAUCAACUAUAAUAUAUGUAAACAACAAAAUCUAAGAGUUUAAUUUGAGUAUAACACAAUAAUUUGAUCAAAUAAAAUUUUUCUUGAAUCUUUAAACAAGAAAAUUCCGAAAAUUUAAAAAUUUAGUUACUCCCAAUUUAAACAACGAAAUUGCACAUAUGAUAUAUCAAUUUGAAGUUUGUGACAAGAGGAACAAAAACCCUAAAGUUUCACAAUCAAAAGAAACUAAAAAAAAAACAUGCACAUUCAUGGAUCACAUAUUUGGCUUCGAAAAGAAAAUAAAAUAAGAAACUAAAAAUUUUAUUUUCGAUUUCCAAAUGUAGAUCCUAAAUCAUGUAAAUCAGACUCUGAUACCACAUGUAAAAUAUUUACAUAAUCACAUAGAUUAAUCAUACAUGAUUAAAGGAUACUAACAAUAGGAAAUCACUAUAAAGAACAUACCUGUUUGAGCAAUGAUAAAAAAAUGUGAUUGAUUGUUGUAGCCAAGUCUUCCUCUCUAUGAUCUUGAUAACAGCUAUGGUGGCUCUAUGGAAAAACAGAUAAACCCUUUUAUCUAGAUUAGAGAGGGGACUUAGCAUAACUCAAAUUGGAUUCUCAUUGGGUCCUCCCAUAAUGGGCUUCAAUGAGACCCAUAGCCUACACUUGCCACUCAACUGAGCUUCUACUCAAAAGAUGCAAAACCCAAUCCAAAAUGUGAUCACUAGUUAAUUGGGCUCAUUAUAGAAUAGACUAUCCAUUAACCCGUUUUUGCAAAUACAAAUUAUUCAAUUAAUGUUAGCCCAUAUAAAAAUUUUCCAACAUUACCAUGUAAAAUAUUUACAUAAUCACAUAGAUUAAUCAUACAUGAUUAAAGGAUACUAACAAUAGGAAAUCACUAUAAAGAAAAUACCUAUUUGAGUCAUGAUAAAAAAAACGUGAUUGAUUGUUGUAGCCAAGUCUUCCUCUCUAUGAUCUUGAUAAUAGCUAUGGUGGCUCAAUGGGAAAACAGAUAAACCCUUUUUAUCUAGAUUAGAGAGGGGACUUAGCAUAACUCAAAUUGGAUUCUCAUUGGGCCCUCCCAUAAUGGGCUUCAAUGAGACCCAUAGCCUACACUUGCCAUUCAACUGAGCUUCUACUCAAAAGAUGCAAAACCCAAUCUAAAAUGUGAUCACUAAUUAAUUGGGCUCAUUAUAGAAUAGACUAUCCAUUAACCCGUUUUUGCAAAUACAAAUUAUUCAAUUAAUGUUAGCCCAUAUAAAAAUUUUCCAACAUUCUCCCACUUGGGCUACAUUAAUUGUUUUUGAGGAUUCAUUAAAUUCAUUUUGAAAAUAAGACUCUCGGGUUAAAUAUAGAAAAGUUUAUUUUGUGUGGCCACACCUUUUUGUUUUUUUUGAAAGAAAUGAUAGUCUAUAAAUAGCAUCUUGUUAAACUUAUCCGGUCCAACAUGUUCUUAAUAUUGGACUAUAAUGGUCUAUAUGUUAAUCUCAACAAACAUAAUGCCCCUUAUAGUCACGAAUAUUUAUAACCAUAUCGACAUGGAUCGCAAACCCAGUAGUGUAGUAAGAAAUCAAUGCCAACAUGUGAUCAUCAUCUAUAUGCAUUGUUUCUUAUCAGUCCUCAUUACAAUUUACCAGCAAAAUGAAAUUGUAAUUGCAAUUUCUCAACAAAAUGAAAUUGCUGCAAUUUCUAAACAAUAUGAAAUUGCUUGACUUUAACAAGUCAUAUGUCACCAACAAUGCACCACAAAAUCUCAAAAUAGUGGUAUUUGUGACAUCCAAUAGUAUACAACUGUAAUUCUUAAGGUUCAAUAUCUCAAGAUACCAUAUUGUAUGUAAUUCAAUUACGACAUACUAUAAUAUAAUACAUAAUUAUGAUGAUCAUAAUAAAAAGAUUUUAAUUUUGCAAGUUGCAGAACAAUAAUGAUCAAUGUUUGCAUAAAACAAUAAUUGAAAUAAGGGAAAUCACAAAAGCUCCCACUAAACCAAAGAAUCAAAAGACUUAAUGACACCCAUAUUCACAACAUGUUCCUUGAACGUUAUGGGCUUUAAACCUUUGGUUAGAGGAUCAGCUAGCAUGGACUCAGUUCUUAUGUGCUCAAUCACAAUAUCUCCUUUCUUCACUAAGUCCUUGACUGUAAGGUACUUGAUUUCCAUAUGCUUAGAACCCGUACUAAUCUUAUUGUUCUUAGAGUAGAACACAACUGCAUUAUUGUCACAAUAAAUCACAAUAUCCAUCAUUCCUAAAACAAACUCUAUGUCUGAUCUCCAUCUCUUAUAGUUCGACCCACUUAGAAUUUCAAUUGUAGCAUUAUUGUUCACAACAAAGGAAACUGAUUGACAAAAUUUUUCAACUAGAUCAAUUAUGGGCAAUAGGUAAAAAAAACUUAAAUAAGCAUAAGCAAUACAAUACAAGAAUCAAUUGUACUAUCAUAAACUCCCCUUUGGGCAAAGUCCACAAUAAACAACUAUUCUUUAAGCAUGAAGAUCAACAAAUAAUUCAUUAAAAUUUAUUUCCUUUGGGCAAAUAAAUUUAUCAAAUUAUUUAUCUCAUUCAAUAUCCUCAUGUUGUUAAAUUAAUUUGCACAAUAACCCCCUUUGGGCAGGCGAUUGUACAAAUUAAUCUAAAAUUUUCCCCAUCAACAAAAUAGAAACUCAUAAACUUGCAAAUUUUGAUGGUUAAAUCACUUUGGUAAAAUAACCUCAACAAUUCACAUGCAACGUUCCAAAAUUGGGUAAAUUAAAAAAAAAAAUUGCCCAACAACAAUAGUGCAUAUUAGCGAUAUAUAUGCAUAUGAUCAAUUAUAGUUGCAAGAAUUUGAACAACAAUUAUUUAUUUAUUUAUUACACUUUAAAUUAAUUAUUUAACUAGUUUAUGUGAUUUAGACCAAGUAGGAGAGUAUGCAUGAAAAAGUUUCAAUCUAGAGAGAGUGAGUACUACACUCCUAUUCCAUAUAUAUUAACAUAAUUUCUGGUAAAUUCUCAAUAGAAAAUUAUACCAAAAAAAUAAUUUUAAGCUAAUCAAAUGACAUAAAUAAGUAAUAAUUAUUUAAUAAAUAUUUUAGACCCCCCAAAAAUAAAAUAAUAUAUCUAGAAAAAUAGAUUACAAAAAAACGAGCGCACAAGAAAAAACGGAGCUCAAAACGAACACCAGAUGAGGUUAUACGCACCUUACACACUUGACUCGCGAGUGGGGAACGUGUGACACAUGUGGCACGUGUGGCAUGUGUUGGAGGUCAUCUUCAACCUCCAGCAUUGGGUCCAAAAUUCUGAAAUACGGGUCAAAUGACCCGGUUGCAACUCGGAUUACAAACAAUUGAAAAAAAUGUUUUUUUUUUAUCGGGAUCUUGAGGGCUUUUAAACUUUAGGUUGUUUCUAACAAUUCUAGGACAUUUAAUCAUAAAAAAAAACAACUUAAAGAUCUCCAUAAUUGAUUAACAAAAUUUGGUUUUUCAUAUCUCCAUAGCCAAGAUUGAAAAACUCUAUUUUAACACCUAUUUCAGCCUCAUUUUACAUGUAUUUUUACAUUAACAAUAUAAGAAGUCUCUUUACAACAAUUAAUUAAAAAAAAAAAAAAUUCUCAAUCUUGCUCAAUUUUUUUUUUUAAAAAAUAAAAUAAAAUGAAUUUUCUAGGGUUCAUACCCAUAUUUUCAAAUUUUCAAUUUUCACCAAAUUGAGUCAAAAAACCGAAAUUGAUGCUACAUAUCAACUAUAAUAUAUGUAAACAACAAAAUCUAAGAGUUUAAUUUGAGUAAAACACAAUAAUUUGAUCAAAUAAAAUUUUUCUUGAAUCUUUAAACAAGAAAAUUCCGAAAAUUUAAAAAUUUAAUUACUCCCAAUUUAAACAACGAAAUUGCACAUAUGAUAUAUCAAUCUGAAGCUUGUGACAAGAGGAACAAAAACCCUAAAGUUUCACAAUCAAAAGAAACUAAAAAAAAUAGGCACAUUCAUGGAUCACAGAUUUGGCUUUGAAAAGAAAAUAAAACGAGAAACUAAAAAUUUUAUUUUUGAUUUCCAAAUGUAGAUCCUAAAUCAUGUAAAUCAGACUUUGAUACCACAUGUAAAAAUAUUUACAUAAUCACAUAGAUUACUCAUACAUGAUUAAAGAAUACUAACAAUAGGAAAUCACUAUAAAGAACAUACCUGUUUGAGCAAUGAUAAAAAAACGUGAUUGAUUGUUGUAGCCAAGUCUUCCUCUCUAUGAUCUUGAUAAUAGCUAUGGUGGCUCAAUGGGAAAACAGAUAAACCCUUUUUAUCUAGAUUAGAGAGGGGACUUAGCAUAACUCAAAUUGGAUUCUCAUUGGGCCCUCCCAUAAUGGGCUUCAAUGAGACUCAUAGCCUACACUGGCCACUCAACUGAGCUUCUACUCAAAAGAUGCAAAACCCAAUCUAAAAUGUGAUCACUAAUUAAUUGGGCUCAUUAUAGAAUAGACUAUCCAUUAACCCGUUUUUGCAAAUACAAAUUAUUCAAUUAAUGUUAGCCCAUAUAAAAAUUUAUGUUUGGUUUUUGGAAAAUUUGAGGGAAAAAAAAUAAAGAGAAAAAAUAAAAUAAAAGAAAAAAUAAAUAAAAAUAAAUAAAUUUAAAAUUAAUAAAUUAUUUUUAUAUGUUUCUUCAAAUUUAUUUCACUUAAUUUCUUUCAAAAUAAUUUUAAAAUGCAUAAGUUUUUAAUUAUAUAUAUAUAUAUUUUUUAAAUUUAUAGUGAAACCAAAGAGAAAACCUUUAUUUAUUUAUUUUCCCUAAGAACCAAACCUAACCUUUGCAUUUUUCCAAAUUUCGGAUCCAAAAGUAACUGAAUGUUACGAAAAAAAAAAAGGAGAAUUGUGUUUUGGGCCCAGAUGGGCCCAAAAAUUAAUAUUUGGUCCAUAUAACUUCCAUAAUUGAUGGAAAUGAUAUAAAAUGUUAAAAGACCAAUAUAUUUUUCAAAUUUCUAUAUAUUAUCUUUUAAGGAUAUAAAAUAGUGAUGGACUAAAAUACCCAAUGACUUUUCACAUAAGCUUUUUUUGUCUUUAUUGUGUCACUAUUCAUGCAACCAUAAUAAUUCUAUUUUAACAAUUUGGAUUUUUCAUUGUUUUUAAUUUUUUUUAUAAAUAAUUGAAAAUCAGCAUUAUUUUCUAUUUUAAAUUAUAAAUAAAGAAAAAUUAUGUUUAAAAACUAUUUUAAAAAAUACUUUCUAAAAAAAUGGUAAUACGAUUUAUAUUUUUUAUAUUUUCUUUUUGAAAAAACAUUUAAUUAAAAAAUGAAAACUAUUUUUAAAAAUAAAAAUUGAAAACCUUGUUUAACACUAUUUUUUAUAUGAAAAUAAUAAAAAGAAUUAAAUUUCAUUAAUUGAUUAUCCAAUUUUUUUUCCAUUAGUUAUUUUAAUAAUAAUAAAAAAUAUAGUAUGUUUACAAUUAAACAAAGAAAUUGAUCAAUUAUGGGUUUUUUGUGGAACUAUCUUUUACAUGAAAAAUAAUUAAAUAAUUAAAUUAUAUAUAUUUAUUACUCUUUUUAACUUUAUUUUCUUUAUUUAUUUUUUGUCUAAUAGAAAAUUUUAAUAUAUCCAUAAUUAACAAAGUAAUAAAUCAAUUUUGCACAUUUUAAUCUAUUAAAAUAAAUUACUUUCUAAUUUAAAUAAAUAAAAUGAAAUAAGUAAAUAAAUUUGAGGUUAUUUCUAUUUUUUAACAUAUCUUAUAUCAAUAUUUUUUAUGGUUAAAUAAAUUUUUUAUUUUUUAUUUCUUUAAUUCCAAAAAUAAAAUGAAAUAAAUAAAUAAAUUUGGUAUUUUCCAACUGAUCUUAUAUUCAUAUUUCUUAUGGUUAAAUAAAAUUUUUUAUUCUUUUUUCUUUAUUUCCAAAAAUAAAAGGAAAUAAAUAAAUAAACUUGGCUUAAAUAAUAGUUUUUAAGUAAUUUCUUUGUCUUAUUUUUAAUUACAUUUUGCAUUGAAAGUAAAAUAAAAUAACGUUUUAUUUGAGUCACUGUACAAGAUAUUUAUAUUAAGUGUACAUGACAAAUAUACUAACUGUACAAGGAUGUACAAGACUAUUAUUUGUGAAGGAUUUUAAGUGAUACUGAAAAAGUUGUUUGUUUAUUU
rnacentral:lncRNA from 1 species